UGCGAUGCUGCGAAAAGUCCAUUGAACCUUAUCAUUUAGAGGAAGGAGAAGUCGUAACAAGGUUUCCGUAGGUGAACCUGCGGAAGGAUCAUUG
rnacentral:rRNA from 1 species